rnacentral:rRNA from 1 species
GAUACGCAUUGUGAAUUGCAGAUUUCAGUGAACCAUUAGAUUUCCGAACGCAUAUGGCGCUGUAGGGACUUCCCUGCAGCACGUCUGUUUCAGUGUCUUUCAA